UUUGUUUUCAUAUUCAUAUUAGACAAUUCAAACUUUGAUUUCCACACAAUAUUGGCUUAGAUCAAGAUCAAAAGGAGUUCUAAUAGUUGACGUGAAAGAAAAUGUCAAAGAGUUAGAAUAAAUCAAGAAAGAUGUUCAAGAUAUUGAAUUGGACGAUGAAAUGAUCUUUGUGCACUCCUUGUUUUGAUCUAGUGGCGAAUAAAGCAAGUAAGGAUGUUUAUUGUAUCAUUGUAUUGUAAUAAAAGAUUGAAGACUAUGUAUUAGAGUUGGUUUAUUAUCAUCAAAACUUGGAGUAGGUUUUUAAAGCUCUAAUGGUUUUCAAAGUUGUAAUAUCUGAAGUUGUUUCUUGUAGCUUGUGAUUUGUAACUAUUUGAGUUAUGGCUUGUGUAGUUGUAGUUUGUGAGCUACAUGUUCAUGUAAAGCUCUAAUGGUUUCAAA